AUGGAAGGAAACUUGAGUAUGUUCAAGAUUCAUGUUUCUAAUCUGUAAAUAUCAGAAUUGUUAACUUGCUAAAUUAUUUUUUUUUUUGCAUUUUUGUAACUGGAUUUAAAUGACCACCUGGAAUAAUAUUGAUCAUAUACUUGACGUGAAGCAUCUAGAAUGUAAGAUAUGCCUACAUAAAGCUGAUUCAUAAACUGGGAUUGCUCCCCAGAGAAGUUUAUAAGAAGAAGGUUGUCUGGGAACCAGUUGUCUAGAGACUUCUGGUUAUUCAGGGAUUUUGAAGGAGUAGGGUCCACAACAGGGAAGGAGCUAUCAGUCAGAAGGGUCCUUACCUCAUGGCUGCUGUGUGCUCUUCUGCCAUGGUCUGUACCAGGCUCAGACCUGAGGAAACCAGCUCACCUGCUUUUAUGCUAGCUGUGCUCAGAAGCUCCCAGACUGACCGUCGUCCAUGCAGAGUCAUUCUCCUUCCUUCUACAUCUCUUUAUGGCAUUGAUCAUCCAGUGAAGUCAAGUUGCCUUUAA
rnacentral:lncRNA from 1 species